UCUCUUCGCUUCUACCAACCUCUUUACCACGAUCCCUACUUUGUUCUCUCCACCCACGCCCCACGCCGCAACCUCCUUUCCAAACACGCCGCCUCCAGCAACUUCACGCGCAGCAGGAUCUCGCUCGCGCCCAUGCCUGGAUGGAUCUCCCUGCUCCACUGAAGGCGCCGUGCAGGGCAGACACCUUAGUUGUCGAGGUCGCCGGGGCACCACCGGGACCGAGUAGAAGCUUCUUGAGGUCAUCGUCGGUGGCAGCCUUCCCUGGACGCGGGCGCCUCGGGGACGGCCCAGUCGCGCGGUCUCCCAGGAGGGUGCGGCAACGGCGUCGGGGGCGCAGGGCAGCAGACCGCGCAGCAGUUGAUCUAAAAAAUUCAGAACCCUGGUCGCAAUCCUCGCAUCUCCUUUUCCACGUCGCCUCCACGGAGAACUCCUCAUUUCAAGCGUGACGCCUUCAUAUUCACUGGAUGUUUCCCCGCGUCUUCGUCAACAGGCGCCGCCUAGGUUUGUCUCCUAGACACAAUUGAUCUCGAAGCAGCAACACAACGUGGUUGCCGGAUUAUGUGGCCAUAGUCAUGGGAGGAGCCGUGUUGCCGGUUACCUGUGCUCUUUGGCCGGAAAGACGUCUUUGGAGGCAUGGAGAGAUACCAUGGAGACGCAGUGGCGACUCCAGGGAACUAGACACGGACGCGGCAAGGAUUGAAUUAUGCCACAACUGCAGCGGUACGGUGAGGGGAUUUGACUCGUCGAAUCAUGGGCCACGGCGGCAAGCCCAACGCCCCUGCUCCGCCAAGCGCACCGACUUUGGCCCGACACAACCCAGCCAUGCCGCCCCGACCAUGGUUGCCAGAAUCACUGUGGGGUUCAUGCUCGGCGCAUGUGAUUCUGUAGUUCCGUUCAUGCUCCGCGCAUGUGGUUCUGUAGUUGCCUCACUGCCCAGUGUUAAGUGUUUGUGAAGGAGAUGACCACUAAAACAACACAGAAGUGCCUUGGUUAAUCCGAUUUAUCAUGGUGCGAUAUUCUUUUGUUGCUGCUGAUUAUACUAAUCAACUGUAAGUCUGCAUGUUUUCAGGGCGGACACUGCUGAAGAUCAAGAAAUCCUUCCGCAGUGUUGGCAACGUGUUGUAUGACAGACCCGACGACAGGGCAUGUGCGAGCUACUACUCCGGGCGUGACGUGCUCUAAACAACAUCACCUUCACCAUUUGUGAGAAGCUCUCUCUAGCAAAAUCUUAUGUUCUGUCGCCGGCUGCAGACCUGCAGUAUGCAAUUACUAACACGUGUUCAUGUGUGCAAUGACUGCAACCUCUGAGGGUUAAAUCUUGGUGGCAAAAUUUCCCCAGCCAUCAGGGAGGAUUCGAAGAGCAUUAUGUCAACGCAAAUGAGAUUGAUGAUUGUUCGUCGCUUAUCAUUGUAAGUGGGCUUCAGACUGAGUUCACAUGUCGCUCUAACCUAAUAGAUGGUUUUCAUUUUUUAUGAAUAAAACAAGUGACCACCCUAACUGAUUUGUUUACAUUAUUUAUGUUUAUGCUCCAUUUGAAUCUUAAUGUUUGUAUAAUGCCAAAAUAAUGAUUCUUCUGGUGCACACCAGUUGAGCCAGAAAAUUUUCCAUACUGCUAUUGUUUUUGCAGUCCAUGCCAUUUUCAUAUUCUGAAGUGAACGACCAAUUGAUACUUAUAGGCAUCGCUUGGGUUUCUCUGGAGAAGGUUCCAAUAGUGUUUUGAAAAGGUCAAAUUCUGGUUCGUGUGGGUUGCUACACUAUGUUUUCUUUUUGCUAAUUCUUGAGCUAAUUAUUGGUUGAGGAUUUACAUGUGAUAUUAGGUAUUUAGGGCAAUGGCAGUGCUAUGAGAUUAAUUAGCAUGUAAAUCUUUCACAAACAAGUUUAAUCACCUGUAAGUCUCCCAUGAUAUCUCCACAAGCUUUAUCGGCAAGGCAGUCCGAAUUUUUCAGCAUGCAAAGUUUCGAGAAGGACAAGUAUCUUGGUUAGAAAUAUUUGCCAGAAAUUGGAAGAACUACAUAUCCAUUAGUUCUGCUCUGCUCAGCUUGCUUUAGAAUGGAUUAUGUGUUAACUAAUUUCUAAUCUCAUUGUUGUGUCCUUGUAAACAAAAUGUGUUAGCAUGUCAGAGUUCAGUGUCAUUCAGUUUUUGUUAUGCAAAAACUGCAUAUAUCCAAUUAGUUCUGUUUGCUUUUACAGAGAGGUAUUUCUCUCCCUAAACUUUGUGUUAUCCAUUUGAAUUCCACUAGACAUAUCCCGCUUGCACAUAGUAGGUUUAUACUACAAGAGGCGCUAAACAUAGGACUUGUAAUAUAACCGGAUCUAUACACAUGAUUAAGUAUAUAUAUGCUCAAGCAACUACAGAAUCUCAAUUUUGUUUAUUGCAUAGACACUGUGUGCAUGCAUACAAUUUUUUUAAACAAUGGCUAUGUUGCAUGUUGGCGUCCCUAUGUUUCUAUCCACAAGGCUAUAUAUGUGACUUACCAUCAGAAAUAAAAUGAGUAAUAGUGGCUGAGGAGAAGCUACAUUCUGUAGCUAGCCGGGGAACUAGCACAAUAGAGAACAAUACAUCAUGUGUAUGAAUUCUGAACCAUGUAAAGAUGAGGAGAAUAAGUAAUCACAUGCCUUUUGUUACUCCGUUGUUCAUAUUUAGAACUAGAGAGAGGGAAAGACAGAGUUGCUAGCUCACACUACUUGAGACUGAAGGUUAUUAGGACUUAAAUUUUCUGUAUAGUACCACAUAUGAUGGCAUGUAGUUUUAGUAUAUACACAUACUUGAGAUGUUUCUGGGUAAAGGUGGAGCUAUGAAUCUAAGCUUAGCCUUUAUUGCUACUUUAUUCCUUAUUCUUUUUAGGGAACAAUAAUAUAGCAUGAUGAUGAAUUCAUAAGCUUCCAAGGGAGCGGAGUAUCCCUGGUCUUAAAACUUUUUGAGCUCCAUAAACAGGAAUGACAAAGUGAUAGCGCUAAUAAGGCGAAUUCAAAAUCAGAUUCAUAGGGUGAUUGUGAUUUUUCUUCCUGAGUUAUGUUUUGUUAACUUUAAAAUUUUCCCUAUCCCUUCACCCCUGCCGAGGCAUUGGUUGAUGUGAAGCCUGAAACAAAUCCAAUUCCACAAUUGUCGACAGUAAUGAGUGUGAGUUGCAGCGAUGUUGGGAUUGUCACAUGUCCUCCUUGAUUUAAUGUCUACCCUUCACAUGUUACCAUUUCUUGUAGGAAACAACAAGAGCUCGGCAACUAUUCAUUGGACUUGGAAUAAAUGCAGAAAUAAAAAAGAAGCUAUUGUAAGCGCACUGAUGAGGACUAGGCAGAGAAGUAGCCAAGCAUGAGAAAGUUCGUCAUCGUACUUUGUCUUGUAUUUCAAGUGUUACUUGGGUGUGGGGAAAUGGACAUUGUGAUUGCUGGGAAGGGAGUUGAGUGGGAGUAAGACAUAGGACUUUGUGAACAAAUUUAAAUUCUGAAGGGAAAGACCUUCGCGCUCAAUACAUGGUCAGAAAACUUCAUUGUGGAUUGUAUGAUCUAGCAACCAAUAUGCACUAAGUUUAUUUUUU